AAGUCGUAACAAGGUUUCCGUAGGUGAACCUGCGGAAGGAUCAUUAAGAAUUGAUAAUAUUUGUGAAAUUUACACAGCAAACAAUAAUCAUACAAUCAAAACAAAAAUAAUCAAAACUUUUAACAAUGGAUCUCUUGGUUCUC
rnacentral:misc_RNA from 1 species